GCACGGAGGUCGGUUGGUUGCUGAGUAUGCACAGAAGAAUUUACAUGCAAAGGUUCUUUCAGCAGGCUUACCACACGAGUUGGCGUGUUUGCGUGGUCUUAUUUGAUGCAUGCUUAAGCAUUUAGUAGGUUAUGUAAUUGCAUUUAACCUUGAACUAUCCCCACCCCCAAUUGUUUGUUCUAUAUUAAUAGGGACUGAUUUUCUUUUAGAAUUUCUCUCCAUGGCUUGAUUUUACCAUGAAUGGUUAUCAAACACCAAUUCAAGUUUUAUUCAUGGUGACUUUUGAUAAUCACAGUUGGAUGUAAAAGCUGCCAGAAAGGCCAUAUUUGAUGGUAUGAUAUUAUUUGUGUUUCUCUUUAUUUUAAUAGUUAUUGAUAGUGCAUUAUUUGUUACUAAAUUCUUUCAGUAUUUGGGUGAAAAUCAUGUUCUUGCUUCUGGAGGUUUUAAGUUUUUUCCCCUUCCCAAAUCCCAACACAGGUUUCUCAAGAACUGAUUAGUUUCUUCUUCAAGAGAGUGCUGCAGGCUGGUGGUUCUGUGAGUGAUGACUGCAGGGGCGUCUUGAAGUUUCACAGGCUUUUGGAGAUUGACAAUUCAAAAAGCUAGGUGUUAUUGCAAUCCCUGAUAUUCAUUCUUUUGAUCUUACGGAACGUGAUCACUUUAUUAUUCUUGGCUGUGACGGCCUGUGGGGGUUUUUGGGCCAAGUGAUGCUGUCUGUUGAGUUUGUUUACAAGCUGCUAAAGGUUCAAGUAAAUCUUUGACAAUCUCACUCUUGCACUUUCUAUUAGGAGUGAUGUGACGCUUUGCUUUCAAUUGUACUCAAACGUGUCGUGUUCUUCCUGGUUUCAUUUAAGUGAAUAUAACUGUUUUAUACAUGGCUGAGUUUAAUUGAAUUAUAUUCGUGCUCCCUAAGCUGUAUUCUAGUUCUAGAAUAAAGGUUUUUCACCGCUUGAUUGUUCUUCCUUGACACAGCAAUAUCUAUCUAUUCGUCUUCUCAUUUGAAUGAGUUCUAAACCAAUGGAUUGGUCAAACUUCCUUUGGACACCAGCAACCUCUUAUUUAUCUACAACACCACACCAAGCCUCUUAUCUCUCUCAACCCACCAAAAAAAAUACCAAGCCCUUAUGAGUUGGCUACAUGAAAUUCUUGCGUUACUAUUCAUUUCUUCCUGGUUAGUCACCUUAACUGAAAUAUUACGGUGGUGUUUGGCUUACCUGUUUGAUCGCUUAUAAACUAUUGAAUUAGCUUAUAUUUUACAUGUUUGGCAAUAUUUAAAAACUUAAACGUUACUACACUUGUAAGCUAUUUUACCAGUAUUUGAGAUAAGCUCUCUUCCCCUCUCCCCUCUCUCUCCUUUUUUCCAAAUAAGUUUUUAGGAGUGUUUUGUGUUGACCAAGUAAAUUAUUGAUUUAUCCUCAAAUAAAAUAUAUAUUUUUAACUUCUAUCCUUCUUUAUCCUUUUGCCUUCUCUAUCGUUGUCACCACCACUAGACCCAUUUUCGGCUGCCACGUCCAGCCAGACCCAUCUCUGUUGCUGUUGACGUCGUCCACCAUCCUCCAUUUACCUCCAUCGCUAUUGUCUGUUGCCCUAGCCCAUUGCCUCCAACCCAUAGUCAUUGCCUCCAUCUUCUCCUCCAUUAUUUUUAUUAUCGCCUCCUUAAACAAAGUACUUAUAUAUAUUUAACAGUAUAUUUUUAUUAAAAAUUAAUAUUUUUAUAAUUUUUAUUUAUAUUAUUUAAUAAUAUAUUUAUUUUUAUCUUUUUGUCAAUAAUUUAUUAGUUUUUUUAAAUUAAUAAUUAAUAAUUUAAAAAUAUAUUUAUUUAAACCCAGUAUCAAUUUAAAUAUUAUUUAAUUUUUAAGUUUUACAUAAUUUAAAAAUUAAAUAACUUAAAAGUUACCAAAAAAAAAAAAAAGAAGGGAUAAGCCAAACAAAGUCUCACUUCAGUCUAGUAAAACUCAUGAAUGCGUUGGUACCAUUGAUGCGCUCCCAUAACGGUAAUUUGAUUUAAAAAAUUUUUUGACAGUUAGCCGGGUCCGAGUUAACAGAUAGACUUAUAGAAUGGGGGUUAAAAGAUUAAAAUGUCCUCGCCCACAUUGCAUUGCAUUUUUUUCAAUGCAAUGUGGGUGAGGGUAUUUUAGUCUUUUAACUCAUAUUCUCUAAGUCUAUCUGUCAACCUGUUUGGUUAUGUAGAAUAACUUUUUGAUUUAUGUGGCUGGACUGAAGUUGUUGGUUAUCCAAUAUCUGAUUUAGAAGGUUUUUCAAAGAGGGCUUGUGCUCAAACUUUAGGGCCUUGUUUUUUUUGUUAUUUUUAAGUCAUUUUUAAUUUUUAAGUUUUUAAAAUAGUGAAAAUGUAUUCAUUUUCAUAUUUUUAAAAACUCAUAUUUGAAAAAAAAUUUAAAAGAAUAAAAAGUCAUUUUGAUUGUUUUUAUUACAUACAUAUUCAAAAUUUCUAAAAUUUAAAAUUCUCACAAACAAAAAGAAUGCAUUUUCAAGUAUUUCAAAAUAGACAUUUAAAACACAAGAUUGAAAAUAAAUUUAAAACUAAAAAUUAAAAUGUGAAGAGAACAACUUUUAUAUAGUUUUUUGGUACGAGGGUUUGCCUGUUCCAGCUGUGAGUCGUCGCCUUGUUAGGGAAAUUGUCAGUGAGCUCCGGUGCACAAACAAUUGUACUGUAAUUGUUAUUGCUACUUGUACAAAGCGGAUGACAGAAAGGAUGACCGAAAGUAUUUAAAUUACAAAUUUUCCUUGUUCUCUCUCCCUUAAUUAAUUGAUUAGUUCAAAAAUUGAAUCCCCGCUCGAGCUUCUUCCUCACCUACUCUCUCUCCCCCGCACGAAUGCAUGACCAGCGACUGCAACUACAUCUCUUCCAUGGCAAUAGCGACCCCUUUUAUAGCGAGAACUGUACCGUAACCGACCCUCUCACUCCAUCUCUUUUGCUAUCUACUAUCUCUUUCUAUUUCUCUCUCGUAAUCUCCCUCUCUCCCCCUCACCAAUUCUGCUUUCUUUCCUUAUUUCAUUCUCUCUCAUGAACACCCAUGUAAAUCACUGAUUUUGUAAAAUCUAAUUGUCUGAUCUUAGAUCUGGCCGUAUUUUCAUCAUGAAAAUGGCAUCGAUCUACAAGAAGAUGUUGAGAAGGAGUUUGGGAUUUCGCUCGCAAAGAAGAAGGAGAAUCGAGCCUAUAUGACAGGGUCAAUCGAUAAAUGAAAUUUAUCCACUUACAAAUGCAGUGGAAAAAGGGCUAAAGACGGUGUGAGGGAGAUAGAUUGCAAGAUAAUGCUGAUGAAGACAUGAUUUGUUUAUUAUAUUUCUAUGUUAAUUUUUUAUGUUAUGUUUUAAUUCAUUUAAAAAUAAAAAAUUUAAUGUAUCAUUUGGCAAUUUUUGUUUGUUUA